AUGGCAGCAGUCCUGUAUGUGGUGGGUAGGUCACAGACUGGAUUUUUCUGGGCUUUUCGGAACCCCAGAGAGAAGUCACAGUUCAGAUACUGGUCGAGCUGUGAGACCUCUGAAGCCGAUUCUAAUUAUGUUCCCAACCCAGCUCUCCCUUCCUCAGAAGAGAGGCUUAGAGGAGAAGGGGAGCGCUGCCCGGCCCUAGCUCCGAGGGCCCUGGUACAAGGGACAACCACCACCCUGGAUUUGGAGAGUGGAAGGCAACGUUUUCCUCCUCACUCCGUUGCAAUAUUGUCACUGACCACAGGAUGGCGGCACAAGGAUGCUAGGUAAGAGGCCUGCCAGUCUGCAGUAAAUCUGCCUCAGGAGUGAUCCAGGUUCCCACAGCACCUUCUCAAGGGGGUUAUGGUUCUGUUCCUGAGAACAGGCAUCUGACGAUGAGGAUAUGGUCAGGCUUCUGCAAGUCAAGAGCUAUGGCCCAACCAUGCAUGUGGUCUUACAGAAAACACAUUUCUACUGGUUGAUAAGCUUAUUGUACGAGACAAGCAAGCAGGAAGCUGCAAAAGGGAUUGCUAUCAGGAAGGCUCAACAUUCACCAAGUCUGGAACAUCUCAUGUUUGAUCCAUGGAAACAAUGAAUGCAGUUUCACUAUGAACUCGGAAUCAAGACCUGGAAAUGACAGAGAAUCCAGCAAGAGAUAGAAAUAUGGACAAAAACCAUGUAUCUAAAGAGGUAAU